UGAAGACAGUGGAGACUGAGCUCAGGU
rnacentral:piRNA from 1 species